GGAGGGGGGGGGGCAGGGAAGGGGAAGGGCUGGAGCGCGGCGGGGAUCCGCUUCUCGUCGCCGGUGUAGGGUUUUCCAAAUAGGACCUCUUGGCGGAACUCAAAACGGGCGGCUACGCAGCAACCACGUGCUGCUGAUAAUGAUGGGGAUGGAGAGGAUGAUGAUAUGUCCUAGAGAGUAUAUAAAUGAGCUGGCAUCCUCAGGCUUUUCUAGUUGCACAAGAGUACCUGAUUGUUGACAUCCUUAGCAUUUCUAGUUGCACAAUACCAUCCAACUAGUUGACAUCCUCAGUCUUUUUGUAGCUGUGUUGAAACCCUCAGCAUUUUCUUCUAGAAUCCUAAAACCUGAACGUGCAAUUAUUUGAUUGGUCAUGCAAGUGUUGAAUAUUUCUUUUCCCAAGUGUA